CCCGUGUGACUAGCUACUGAAUCAUAGAAUUUUUUAAAAUUCAUGAUGUCGUAAGGGAAAAUAAUGAUAAUACCUUACUAUGAGUGUCGUCCAAAUCUAGUGCCAGAAGACUCGGUAAGACCAGAGACGCGAACGUUAAUCAUCUUAAACAGGCGUAAAGGGUUUGUAGGCAGCUUUCAUAAGAAUAUGAUUUUUAAAAUAAAGUAAUCUAAUUGAAAGCUAGAAUCAAAAAGAGGUUAUAGUGUAUAACGCCUAGAGGAGGGCUGAUAUCCUUAGAUCCUAGGCAGAAUACUCAGGGCGAAGGCCACUCUCCACUAAUGAUUGACGCUGAGAAACGAAGGUUAGGGUAGGAAAUAGGAUUAGAUACCCCGGUACUCCUUUCUGUAAACGAUGAAUGGUAGUCAUUAGUUUAUUUACAUAACUAGAGAUGAAGUUAACACAAUAACCAUUCCGCCUUGUGAGUACUACUGCAAAGUAGAAAACAAAAAAAUUAGUCGGUCUCGAAGCAAACGGAGUGAAGCAUGUUAUUUAAUUAAUAAAAACCCGCA
rnacentral:rRNA from 1 species